rnacentral:hammerhead_ribozyme from 1 species
AUGCAGUUGACGAGUCCCAAAUAGGACGAAAUGCGCAUCAUGGAU